rnacentral:lncRNA from 1 species
AGUCAAGAGUUGUUGGGAAAGAGAGACUCUCAACUGAGAAAAUGCCUCCAUAAGAUUUGGUUAUAGGAAAUAGCCUAUAGUACAUUUUCUUAAUUGGUGACUGAAGUGGGAGGGCCCAGCCCAUUGAGCGGUCAUGUGCCCCCCACCCCCGGCAGAUAGCAGUCCUGGGAUGUAUAAGAAAGCAGGCUGAGCAAGCCACUAAGCAGAGCUCCUCUGAGGUCCCUCCAGGUUCCUGUCCCAAGUUCCUGCCCAGGCUUCCCUCAGUGAUGGAGUAACAAGUCAUAAUGAGAAAUGAAACCUUUUCUUCCCUGAGUUACCUUUGGUCAUAGGGUUUUUAUCAUAACAGCAAUAGAAACCCUAACUAAGACAAUAUUCUUAAAUUUAAUUCUUAAAUGCAGUUGAACUUGAUAAUAUUUUUCUUAUUAGGAUACUUUAUGUGGUAUUGUUAUAAAUCAUGAAAAGUGCCCAUAAAGAGCCUUAUUUUUAGGUCUUUAUUUGCUAUUCCACAGAAUUACGGCGUGGGUUCGAAUAAUUGUUUCAUCUUCAGAAACCUCACUUUAUUGAUGAUAAAGUCAUCUCUGGGUAAGGGGACCUCACAGAUGAAAGCCCUACCCAGCACAUCGAUGCCAGAGAGAAACAACAAACAGCAAACAGGCAAGUGAACAAUGCUAGAAGAUUAGACACCCCAGACAAGAGACAGGAAGGAGGUGCUGAGGCUUUGG